rfam:Gossypium raimondii chromosome 5, whole genome shotgun sequence.
GGAGAGAUGGCUGAGUGGUUCAUAGCUCCGGUUAUGAAAACCGGUACAGUUCGAAACAAAUAAUUAUCGAAGGUUUGAAUCCCUCUCUCUUCU